rnacentral:rRNA from 1 species
AUACGGAGGAUCCGAGCGUUAUCCGGAUUUAUUGGGUUUAAAGGGAGCGUAGGCGGACGCUUAAGUCAGUUGUGAAAGUUUGCGGCUCAACCGUAAAAUUGCAGUUGAUACUGGGUGGCUUGAUUGCGGUCGAGGUUGGCGGAAUUCGUUGUGUAGCGGUGAAAUGCAUAGAUAUGACGAAGAACACCGAUUGCGUAGGCAGCUGACCAGACCGCAAAUGACGCUCAUGCACGAAAGUGCGGGGAUCGAACAGGAUUAGAUACCCUGGUAGUCCGCACAGUAAACGAUGAAUACUUGUUUUCGGCGAUAUAAUGUCGGAGGCAAAGCGAAAGCGAUAAGUAUUCCACCUGGGGAGUACGCCGGCAACGGUGAAACUCAAAUGAAUUGGCGGGG